GUUGAGCACACCCUGAAAUGAAGGCCAGGCCACCCUAUAAGGCACCCCGCAGGGCCAGCACAGAGCAGGAUGGAAAGGAACCUGAGCCUCAGACCAGGAGGCUGCACCUUGACCCAGGAGGCAGAGGGAGGCUGGGAUGGGAGGACAGGACUGAAGUCAGGGAGAGAUGCCCCUGAGCCCUCCUGCUGAGUCCUGCCUGGCAGGAGAGGAGGCGGUGGUCCUGGAGGCAGUGCUGGGUCUCCAAGGGAGCAGCAGGGGCCCACCUCAGCUAGGGCCUGGAAGUGACGGGUCAGUAACAACCAGGCAGCUGAGAGCUUGAGGGCGCCUGGCUCCCAGCACCAGCUUACACCUUCCAGACCAGCCUCCAAAAGCCCCUCCUGUAGGCCCCAAGGGCUGACCUCCCAAUGAGGGGCACCUUCCUCCAGCAUGUUGGGCCUGGGGCUGUGGCACACCUGCCCCCAGGGGACCCUGCAGUGUGCUCCCUGGACCCCAAUGUCCAGCCUCCUCCAGGAUCUGCCAGGUGGGGUCGAGAAGAGCGUCUGCUGUGCUUCACUGCACUCACAGGGACACCUCAGGCACAUGCACCAAGGUUUGUUCUCGGACAUUGUGGGGAAGACAAGCGCCUCCCCAGCAGAAAAGGCGAACCCGCUGCCGGGCCGCACUGUGUCCCGGUCGGGCCCACCGUCGCAAGACCCCGGCGCGUCGGGGACACAGACAGCCUGGGCAAGGUACCCGCUGACCCGAGGCCGGCCCCUCGGCCUCUCCACCUGAUUGAUCCGUGUGUUCAUUCCGCCAGGCGUCCCUUGCAGUCGGGGUGAGCUCGACCAGGACCCGCCAGCCCUACCCGUGGCUCCGCCCCAGCCCCUUGCCCCUCCGGCUCCCGGCUCCCGCGCAUCCUGGGCGCACGGGCGCCCGCUCGGAGCUGGGGGAGCAGGACCCGCGUGCCCGGGUGCAGGGGUCGGGGAGGGCGAGGCUGGCGCG
rnacentral:lncRNA from 1 species